rnacentral:rRNA from 1 species
UACAGAGGGUGCGAGCGUUGUCCGGAAUCACUGGGCGUAAAGGGCUCGUAGGUGGCCAACUAAGUCAGACGUGAAAUCCCUCGGCUUAACCGGGGAACUGCGUCUGAUACUGGAUGGCUUGAGUUUGGGAGAGGGACGCGGAAUUCCAGGUGUAGCGGUGAAAUGCGUAGAUAUCUGGAGGAACACCGGUGGCGAAGGCGGCGUCCUGGACCAACACUGACACUGAUGAGCGAAAGCCAGGGGAGCAAACGGG